GAUGAACGCUCGCGACAGGCUUAACACAUGCAAGUCGAGGGGCAGCACAGGUAGCAAUACCGGGUGGCGACCGGCGCACGGGUGAGUAACGCGUAUGCAACUUACCUAUCAGAGGGGGAUAACCCGGCGAAAGUCGGACUAAUACCGCAUGAAGCAGGGGUCCCGCAUGGGGAUAUUUGCUAAAGAUUCAUCGCUGAUAGAUAGGCAUGCGUUCCAUUAGGCAGUUGGCGGGGUAACGGCCCACCAAACCGACGAUGGAUAGGGGUUCUGAGAGGAAGGUCCCCCACAUGGGUACUGAGACACGGACCAAACUCCUACGGGAGGCAGCAGUGAGGAAUAUUGGUCAAUGGACGAGAGGCUGAACCAGCCAAGUCGCGUGAGGGAUGAAGGUUCUAUGGAUCGUAAACCUCUUUUAGAAGGGAAUAAAGUGCGGGACGUGUCCCGUUUUGUAUGUACCUGAUGAAUAAGGAUCGGCUAACUCCGUG
rnacentral:rRNA from 1 species